rnacentral:rRNA from 1 species
GUAGGUGGCAAGCGUUGUCCGGAAUUAUUGGGCGUAAAGCGCGCGCAGGCGGUCCUUUAAGUCUGAUGUGAAAGCCCACGGCUCAACCGUGGAGGGUCAUUGGAAACUGGGGGACUUGAGUGCAGAAGAGGAGAGUGGAAUUCCACGUGUAGCGGUGAAAUGCGUAGAGAUGUGGAGGAACACCAGUGGCGAAGGCGACUCUCUGGUCUGUAACUGACGCUGAGGCGCGAAAGCGUGGGGGAGCGAACAGGAUUAGAUACCCUGGUAGUCCACGCCGUAAACCGAUGAGUGCUAAGUGUUAGAGGGUUUCCGCCCCCUUUAGUGCUGCAGCUAACGCAUUAAGCACUCCCGCCUGGGAGUACGGUCGCAAGACUG